rnacentral:rRNA from 1 species
GAUGAACGCUAGCUACAGGCUUAACACAUGCAAGUCGAGGGGCAUCAGGAAGAAGCUUGCUUUCUUUGCUGGCGACCGGCGCACGGGUGAGUAACACGUAUCCAACCUGCCCUUUACUCGGGGAUAGCCUUUCGAAAGAAAGAUUAAUACCCGAUGGCAUAAUGAUUCCGCAUGGUUUCAUUAUUAAAGGAUUCCGGUAAAGGAUGGGGAUGCGUUCCAUUAGGUUGUUGGUGAGGUAACGGCUCACCAAGCCUUCGAUGGAUAGGGGUUCUGAGAGGAAGGUCCCCCACAUUGGAACUGAGACACGGUCCAAACUCCUACGGGAGGCAGCAGUGAGGAAUAUUGGUCAAUGGGCGCUAGCCUGAACCAGCCAAGUAGCGUGAAGGAUGAAGGCUCUAUGGGUCGUAAACUUCUUUUAUAUAAGAAUAAAGUGCAGUAUGUAUACUGUUUUGUAUGUAUUAUAUGAAUAAGGAUCGGCUAACUCCGUGCCAGCAGCCGCGGUAAUACGGAGGAUCCGAGCGUUAUCCGGAUUUAUUGGGUUUAAAGGGAGCGUAGGUGGACUGGUAAGUCAGUUGUGAAAGUUUGCGGCUCAACCGUAAAAUUGCAGUUGAUACUGUCAGUCUUGAGUACAGUAGAGGUGGGCGGAAUUCGUGGUGUAGCGGUGAAAUGCUUAGAUAUCACGAAGAACUCCGAUUGCGAAGGCAGCUCACUGGACUGCAACUGACACUGAUGCUCGAAAGUGUGGGUAUCAAACAGG